GGGCCGGACGCUGAGUCCCGGUCACUUACCCGGGACCCUCCGGACCGCGCUGUUAUCCGACGGAGCAGACGCAUUUGUCUCUCGCCCGCAAGGACGCUGCAGCCGGCGGGGAAGUGCAAACGCGACGGCCUGAAGGUCGGGAGAUGGCAGUUGGCCGGUGGCGCGCACCUCAGCGCGCGAGCCGGUUGUUAGCCGUCCCGUCAGUGGCCCGUCUCCCCGCCGAGGUUCCACACAGAGGCCCCCCCCCCACCAGGGGGGGGUCGACCUCCGUCGUCUCCUCCAAAAGCAAGCGUCGCGAGACCGUCGCUGGUCAAGGCCGCCCGACCUGUCGCACUCCGAGCGAGUGGACGGCCGACGAAGUUCGGGGCCGCAGGCGACGGCGAGGCACGCCGGAGACCGGAGGCUCGCAGCGAGUAGGUCGGUCACCCACCCGACCCGUCUUGAAACACGGACCAAGGAGUCUAACAUGUGCGCGAGUCAAUGGGUCUUGAACAGGCCCAGGGGCGCAAUGAAAGCAAAUGCCCGCCACAGCGCGGGCAGAGUCGGGAUCCCCUCCACCGCGGGGGGCGCACCGACGACCCGUCCCGUCCGGCUCGCCGGUGGGGCGGAGUGUGAGCGCACACGUUGGGACCCGAAAGAUGGUGAACUAUGCCCGGGCAGG
rnacentral:rRNA from 1 species